GACGAACGCUGGCGGCGUGCUUAACACAUGCAAGUCGAACGAAGUGGCGAACUGGUGAGUAAUACGUGGGUAACCUGCCCUCCUUUUUGGGAUAAGUCCUGGAAACGGGGUUCAAUCCCGUAUUAAGGGGGAUGGGCUCGCGGCCUAUCAGCUUGUUGGUGGGGUGCUAGCCUACCAAUGCGGUGACGGGUAGCCGGCCUGAGAGGGUAACCGGCAACAUUGAGACGGUGGUACGGCCCAGGCUCGUACGGAGGGCGGAAGUGGGGGAUAUUGCCGAAUGGGCGAAGGACUUAUGCAGCGUCGCCGAGGGGGGGAUGAAGACUUUAGGGUUGUAAACCUCUUGAGGUAUCGAGCCGGUAGGUGGAGAAGAAGCGCCGGCUAACUACGUGCCAGCAGCCGCGGUAAUUC
rnacentral:rRNA from 1 species